AAUGUUUGUUUAAUUUUUUAAGUUGGUUACGAGGUACAUGUUGUUUAUAUUACAUUAUGCUUUUAUAAUUUACAUAUAUACCUUGUAUAUUUGUAUACAUCAAAUAUUUUAUUGAAGAAAGCAAAAUGAGAAUUUAUAGAAUAAUAUAACUUUAUAAUGAACGUUUGAAAAUUACACCAUAAAAAAUGAAUUACAUUGUUUUUAUCU
rnacentral:lncRNA from 1 species